rnacentral:lncRNA from 1 species
AAGGGCGCCAAAAGGACAGUGCCCACACAUUUAUUAUGGCUCCCACUGUGGCCUAUGAGCAUUUGACUUUAAAUUACAGAAGGAUUCCACCAUCUACCAGGUAGCUUGUGUGAAGAGAAGAAUGAGAAAACUUCCACUAAAGCUCAUUUGCUCCUUUCUCUUCCUUGUCCCCUCCCAAUGUCUUUUUUCUGAACAGAAGACAUGGAUCAAUAAAUAUAUAUGUUUCUGAUUCAAAAUGAUUAGGAUCAUGAAAACAGUCAUAGUUUCUUAAAUUUCCAGAGAGCCAAUUGUUCUUCAAACACCUCUGCAGAGUGCCCUGACAAAAGAAACUCUUUGGAUCAAAAUCAUGAAAACAGAAAGAAGUCAAGUGAACAGAAUAAGUCAACUGACAACCCAAAUGUCUAUCAGCAGGAGAAUGGAGCCACAAAGAGUGGUAUACCCAGAGCACAGCGAUGGAGCACUACACAGCAAUGAAAAAGAACAAGCCACUGAGACACGCAGCCACAUAUAGGCAUCUCACAGACCCAGUGUGGAGUCAAAGAAGCCAGGCACAAAAGCCUGCAUCCCAUGUGCUUCUGUUUAUGCAAAGUUCAAGAAUGGGAGAAACUAACAUGGUGAAAAACUGAGGCUGGGAGAAGUGACCCAAGAGUGAACGUGGACCAGACCUUAGAGCACAUUGUCUUCAGCC